rnacentral:rRNA from 1 species
GGAAGUAAAAGUUGUAACAAGGUCUCCGUUGGUGAACCAGCGGAGGGAUCAUUACCGAGUUUACA